CCCUUAGAUGUUCUGGGCCGCACGCGUGCUACACUGAGUGGAUCAGCGGGUCAGGUUGCGCGAAAGUGUUUCCUAAUCUUUAAAUCCGCUCGUGAUGGGGAUUGACGGUUGCAAUUUUCCGUCAUGAACGAGGAAUACCUUGUAAGCGCGGGUCAUCAUCCCGCGCUGAAUACGUCCCUGCCCUUUGUACACACCGCCCGUCACUCCUACCGAUUGAGUGGUCCGGUGAGGCUUUGGGAUCUGAGCGGAAAGAGCGUUUCGCUGUUUCUGCUCGGAAAACUCAGUCGAACCUUAUCAUUUAGAGGAAGGAGAAGUCGUAACA
rnacentral:rRNA from 1 species